rnacentral:rRNA from 1 species
GGAAUUGUUCGCAAUGGGCGCAAGCCUGACGACGCAACGCCGCGUGGAGGAUGAAGGUCUUCGGAUUGUAAACUCCUGUUGCCCGGGACGAAUAGCUUCGACCUAACACGUCGAAGUAUGACGGUACCGGGUGAGGAAGCCCCGGCCAACUCUGUGCCAGCAGCCGCGGUAAUACAGAGGGGGCAAGCGUUGUUCGGAAUUACGGGGCGUAAAGGGCGCGUAGGCGGCCUGCUAAGUCGAACGUGAAAUCCCCGGGCUCAACCCGGGAACUGCGUCCGAUACUGGUUGGCUUGAAUCCGGGAGAGGGAUGUGGAAUUCCAGGUGUAGCGGUGAAAUGCGUAGAUAUCUGGAGGAACACCGGUGGCGAAGGCGACAUCCUGGACCGGCAUUGACGCUGAGGCGCGAAAGCCAGGGGAGCAAA